rnacentral:tRNA from 1 species
GGUCUUGUAGUCAAAGUGUAUGAUGCCAAAUUGCAAGUUUGGAGUUGGAAGGAUGCUUUCUAAGGCUU